GAAAGCUUCCUAGAGAUUUUGAACUCAAAAAACUACAGGAUAAGCAAAAGAUUAAAAAUUUGGCAGCAAAAGUAUAUGAAUGUUUUAAUCUACUGGAAGCUGCAGUGUUAAGCUGGAGAAGACUGAGCUUCAAGGCAAAGAGAAGGAAAUUUUAUUUUCUGGGAAGAAAAAAAGAUUGGAUUUUUAUUUGUUUUGGGGAUGGGAAGAAGAAAAAGAAUGGAGUUUUGAGGUCUGUGAAUUCGGAUUUCAAUGGGAAAAUGGUGAGAUAAUAAUAAGAAAGCUUGUUUUUGUUUUUCAGCUUAUUGGGUGCCUAACUUUCCUAAGACUGUCCGAAUUGAGAUUAAAAAAUUGGAAAUGAAAAGAUGGAAAUAAAAUAAGUUUUUGAAUAUGUUUAACAAUUUUGUUAAAAUAUGAAUUUUCUGGUUUUGGUUGGAAUCCGGUGAGAAGUAAUUAUAGUUUAUAAAAU
rnacentral:lncRNA from 1 species